AAUGGGCGCAAGCCUGACCCAGCAACGCCGCGUGAAGGAAGAAGGCCCUCGGGUUGUAAACUUCUUUUAUUUAGGACGAAGAAAGUGACGGUACUAAAUGAAUAAGCCACGGCUAACUACGUGCCAGCAGCCGCGGUAAUACGUAGGUGGCAAGCGUUAUCCGGAUUUACUGGGUGUAAAGGGCGUGUAGGCGGGACAACAAGUCAGAUGUGAAAUUCCAGGGCUCAACCCUGGACCUGCAUUUGAAACUGUAGUUCUUGAGUGAUGGAGAGGCAGGCGGAAUUCCGAGUGUAGCGGUGAAAUGCGUAGAUAUUCGGAGGAACACCAGUGGCGAAGGCGGCCUGCUGGACAUUAACUGACGCUGAGGCGCGAAAGCGUGGGGAGCAAA
rnacentral:rRNA from 1 species